rnacentral:rRNA from 1 species
AUUGAACGCUGGCGGCAUGCCUUACACAUGCAAGUCGAACGGCAGCACGGGGGCAACCCUGGUGGCGGGUGGCGAACGGGUGAGUAACAUAUCGGAACAUACCCUAGAGUGGGGGAUAACGUAGCGAAAGUUACGCUAAUACCGCAUACGAUCUAAGGAUGAAAGUGGGGGAUCUUCGGACCUCAUGCUCAUGGAGUGGCCGAUAUCUGAUUAGCUAGUUGGUGAGGUAAAGGCUCACCAAGGCGACGAUCAGUAGCUGGUUUGAGAGAACGACCAGCCACACUGGAACUGAGACACGGUCCAGACUCCUACGGGAGGCAGCAGUGGGGAAUUUUGGACAAUGGGGGCAACCCUGAUCCAGCAAUGCCGCGUGAGUGAAGAAGGCC